GACAGAGGAUGCAAGCGUUAUCCGGAAUGAUUGGGCGUAAAGCGUCUGUAGGUGGCUUUUUAAGUCCGCCGUCAAAUCCCAGGGCUUACCUACCGUGACAGGCGGUGGAAACUACCAAGCUGGAGUACGGUACGGGGCAGAGGGAAUUUCCGGUGGAGCGGUGAAAUGCGUAGAGAUCGGAAAGAACACCAACGGCGAAAGCACUCUGCUGGGCCGACACUGACACUGAGAGACGAAAGCUAGGGGAGCGAAUGGG
rnacentral:rRNA from 1 species